rnacentral:rRNA from 1 species
CCUACGGGAGGCAGCAGUGGGGAAUUUUGGACAAUGGGCGAAAGCCUGAUCCAGCCAUUCCGCGUGAGUGAAGAAGGCCUUCGGGUUGUAAAGCUCUUUCGCAAGGGAAGAAAACUUACUUUCUAAUAAAGAGUGAGGUUGACGGUACCUUGAUAAGAAGCACCGGCUAACUACGUGCCAGCAGCCGCGGUAAUACGUAGGGUGCGAGCGUUAAUCGGAAUUACUGGGCGUAAAGCGUGCGCAGGCGGUUUGGUAAGUCAGAUGUGAAAUCCCCGAGCUCAACUUGGGAACUGCGUUUGAAACUACCAGACUAGAAUAUGUCAGAGGGGGGUAGAAUUCCACGUGUAGCAGUGAAAUGCGUAGAGAUGUGGAGGAAUACCAAUGGCGAAGGCAGCCCCCUGGGAUAAUAUUGACGCUCAUGCACGAAAGCGUGGGGAGCAAACAGGAUUAGAUACCCUGGUAGUCCACGCCCUAAACGAUGUCUACUAGUUGUUGGUGGAGUAAAAUCCAUGAGUAACGCAGCUAACGCGUGAAGUAGACCGCCUGGGGAGUACGGUCGCAAGAUUAAAACUCAAAUGAAUUGACGG